GAUGAACGCUGGCGGCGUGCCUAAUACAUGCAAGUCGAGCGAACAGACGAGGAGCUUGCUCCUCUGACGUUAGCGGCGGACGGGUGAGUAACACGUGGAUAACCUACCUAUAAGACUGGGAUAACUUCGGGGAACCGGAGCUAAUACCGGAUAAUAUAUUGAACCGCAUGGUUCAAUAGUGAAAGACGGUUUUGCUGUCACUUAUAGAUGGAUCCGCGCCGCAUUAGCUAGUUGGUAAGGUAACAGCUUACCAAGGCAACGAUGCGUAGCCGACCUGAGAGGGUGAUCGGCCACACUGGAACUGAGACACGGUCCAGACUCCUACGGGAGGCAGCAGUAGGGAAUCUUCCGCAAUGGGCGAAAGCCUGACGGAGCAACGCCGCGUGAGUGAUGAAGGUCUUCGGAUCGUAAAACUCUGUUAUUAGGGAAGAACAAAUGUGUAAGUAACUAUGCACGUCUUGACGGUACCUAAUCAGAAAGCCACGGCUAACUACGUG
rnacentral:rRNA from 1 species